rnacentral:rRNA from 1 species
UCGGUGAGGUAACCUUUAUGGAGCCAGCCGCCGAAGGUGGGACAGAUGAUUGGGGUGAAGUCGUAACAAGGUAGCCGUAUCGGAAGGUGCGGCUGGAUCACCUCCUUUCUAAGGA